GAGAGGCGAACUGGUGAGUAACACGUGGGAAACCUGCCCAGAAGCGGGGGAUAACACCUGGAAACAGAUGCUAAUACCGCAUAACAACUUGGACCGCAUGGUCCGAGUUUGAAAGAUGGCUUCGGCUAUCACUUUUGGAUGGUCCCGCGGCGUAUUAGCUAGAUGGUGAGGUAACGGCUCACCAUGGCAAUGAUACGUAGCCGACCUGAGAGGGUAAUCGGCCACAUUGGGACUGAGACACGGCCCAAACUCCUACGGGAGGCAGCAGUAGGGAAUCUUCCACAAUGGACGAAAGUCUGAUGGAGCAACGCCGCGUGAGUGAAGAAGGGUUUCGGCUCGUAAAACUCUGUUGUUAAAGAAGAACAUAUCUGAGAGUAACUGUUCAGGUAUUGACGGUAUUUAACCAGAAAGCCACGGCUAACUACGUGCCAGCAGCCGCGGUAAUACGUAGGUGGCAAGCGUUGUCCGGAUUUAUUGGGCGUAAAGCGAGCGCAGGCGGUUUUUUAAGUCUGAUGUGAAAGCCUUCGGCUCAACCGAAGAAGUGCAUCGGAAACUGGGAAACUUGAGUGCAGAAGAGGACAGUGGAACUCCAUGUGUAGCGGUGAAAUGCGUAGAUAUAUGGAAGAACACCAGUGGCGAAGGCGGCUGUCUGGUCUGUAACUGACGCUGAGGCUCGAAAGUAUGGGUAGCAAACAGGAUUAGAUACCCUGGUAGUCCAUACCGUAAACGAUGAAUGCUAAGUGUUGGAGGGUUUCCGCCCUUCAGUGCUGCAGCUAACGCAUUAAGCAUUCCGCCUGGGGAGUACGGCCGCAAGGCUGAAACUCAAAGGAAUUGACGGGGGCCCGCACAAGCGGUGGAGCAUGUGGUUUAAUUCGAAGCUACGCGAAGAACCUUACCAGGUCUUGACAUACUAUGCAAAUCUAAGAGAUUAGACGUUCCCUUCGGGGACAUGGAUACAGGUGGUGCAUGGUUGUCGUCAGCUCGUGUCGUGAGAUGUUGGGUUAAGUCCCGCAACGAGCGCAACCCUUAUUAUCAGUUGCCAGCAUUAAGUUGGGCACUCUGGUGAGACUGCCGGUGACAAACCGGAGGAAGGUGGGGAUGACGUCAAAUCAUCAUGCCCCUUAUGACCUGGGCUACACACGUGCUACAAUGGAUGGUACAACGAGUUGCGAACUCGCGAGAGUAAGCUAAUCUCUUAAAGCCAUUCUCAGUUCGGAUUGUAGGCUGCAACUCGCCUACAUGAAGUCGGAAUCGCUAGUAAUCGCGGAUCAGCAUGCCGCGGUGAAUACGUUCCCGGGCCUUGUACACACCCCCCGUCACACCAUGAGAGUUUGUAACACCCAAAGUCGGUGGGGUAACCUUUUAGGAACCAGCC
rnacentral:rRNA from 1 species